rnacentral:rRNA from 1 species
GACGAACGCUGGCGGCGUGCCUAAUACAUGCAAGUUGAGCGCUUAAGGUUGGUACUUGUACCAACUGGAUGAGCAGCGAACGGGUGAGUAACGCGUGUGGAAUCUGCCUUGAGGGGUGGACUACGUUUGGGAACGCAUGCUAAUACCGCAUAAAAACUUUGAACAACAGUUUUAAGUUUGAAAAAUGCAAUUGCAUCACUCAAAGAUGGUUCCGCGUUUUAUUAGCUAGUUGGGGAGGUAAAGGCUCACCAAGGCGAUGAUACAUAACCGACCUGAGAAGGUGAGCGGCCACAUUGGGAACGAGACACGGCCCAAAAUCCUAAGGGAGGCAGCAGUAGGGGAACUUCGGAAAUGGACGAAAGGCUGAACGAGCAAAGCCGCGGGAGUGAAGAAGGGUUUCGGAUCGUAAAACUCUGUUGGUAGAGAAGAAAGUUGGUGAGAAUGGAAAGCUCAUCAAGUGACGGUAACUACACAGAAAGGGACGGCUAACUACGUG